rfam:Strongyloides venezuelensis genome assembly, scaffold: SVE_scaffold0000121
GAUUUCGUGGUGUAGUCGGUUAUCACAUCUGUCUAACACACAGAAGGUCGGCGGUUCGAAUCCGCCCGAAAUCA